AUUGAACGCUGGCGGCGUGCUUAACACAUGCAAGUCGUGCGGUAGCAGGCGUAGCAAUACGUGCUGACGAGCGGCGAACGGGUGCGUAAUACAUGGGAAUCUGCCCUUUAGUGGGGAAUAACCCGGCGAAAGCCGGGCUAAUGCCGCAUAAGAUCUUCGGAUGAAAGCGGGGGAUCGUAAGACCUCGCGCUGAUGGAUGAGCCCAUGUCGGAUUAGCUAGUUGGUGAGGUAACGGCUCACCAAGGCGACGAUCCGUAGCUGGUCUGAGAGGACGGCCAGCCACACUGGGACUGAGACACGGCCCAGACUCCUACGGGAGGCAGCAGUGGGGAAUAUUGGACAAUGGGCGAAAGCCUGAUCCAGCGACGCCGCGUGUGUGAAGAAGGCCCUGCGGGUUGUAAAGCACUUUCGAUGGGAACG
rnacentral:rRNA from 1 species